rnacentral:rRNA from 1 species
UACGAGGGGUGCAAGCGUUAUUCGGAAUCAUUGGGCGUAAAGGGUGCGUAGACGGCUUAUCAAGUCAACUGUUUAAUUCUCCGGCCUAACUGGAGGCAUGCGGUAGAAACUGAUGAGCUUGAGGUUGGAAGAGAGAAGUGGAAUUCUCGGAGUAGCGGUAAAAUGCGUAGAUCUCGAGAGGAACACCGAUGGCGAAGGCAGCUUCUUGGUCCAAAUCUGACGUUGAGGCACGAAAGCGUGGGGAGCAAACAGG